rnacentral:rRNA from 1 species
AGAAUCAACGCUGGCGGCGUGCCUAACACAUGCAAGUCGCACGAGAAAGGGGCUUCGGUCCUGAGUAAAGUGGCGCACGGGUGAGUAACACGUGAAUCAUCUACCUCCGAAUGGGGAAUAACUGAGAGAAAUCUUAGCUAAUACCGCAUAAUACCUACGGGUCAAAGCAGCAAUGCGUUUGGAGAGGAGUUCGCGGUCGAUUAGUUAGUUGGCGGGGUAAUGGCCCACCAAGACGAUGAUCGAUAUCCGGCCUGAGAGGGCGCACGGACACACUGGAACUGAAACACGGUCCAGACUCCUACGGGAGGCAGCAGUGGGGAAUUUUGCGCAAUGGGGGAAACCCUGACGCAGCAACGCCGCGUGGAGGAUGAAAUAUCUUGGUAUGUAAACUCCUUUCGAUGGGGAAGAUAAUGACGGUACCCAUAGAAGAAGCCCGGCUAACUUCGUGCCAGCAGCCGC